rnacentral:tRNA from 1 species
GGAAAUAUGCCCGAAUUUAAGGACUACUUUGAUAGAGUAAACAAUAGAGGUUCAAAUCCUCUUAUUUCCU